GCUGAUUCUGCUCAGACUGAACGCUGGCGGGAUGCUGUACACAUGCAAGUCGAACGGCAGCACGGACUUCGGUCUGUGGCGAGUGGCGAACGGGUGAGUAAUGUAUCGGAACGCCUAGUAGCGGGGGAUAACUACGCGAAAGCGUAGCCAAUACCGCAUACUGCCCUUCGGGGGAAAGCGGGGGGACCUUCGGGCCUCGCACUAUUAGAGCGGCCGAUAUCGGAUUAGCUAGUUGGUGGGUAACGGCUCACCAAGGCGACGAUCCGCAGCUGGUUUGAGAGGGACGACCAGCCACACUGGGACUGAGACACGGCCCAGACUGCGCAUGGGAGGCAGCAGUGGGGAAUUUUGGACAAUGGGGGAAACCUCCUGGAUCCAGCCAUCCCGCGUGUGCGAUGAAGGCCUUCGGGUUGUAAAGCACUUUUUGGCAGGAAAGAAAACGGCACGGGAUACACCGCAACUGACGGUACCCGCAGAAUAAGCACCGGCUAACCACGUGCCAGCAGCCGCGGUAAUACGUAGGGUGCAAGCGUUAAUCGGAAUUACUGGGCGCAGCGCGCAGGCGGUUCGGAAAGAAAGAUGUGAAAUCCCAGAGCUUAACUCGGGAACUGCAUUUUUAACUACCGAGCUAGAGUGUGUCAGAGGUGGAAUUCGCGUGUAGCAGUGAAAUGCGUAGAUAUGGAGGAACACCGAUGGCGAAGGCAGCCUCCGGGAUAACACUGACGCUUAUGCACGAAAGCGUGGGGAGCAAACAGGGAUUAGAUAACGGUAGUCCACGCCCUAAACGAUGUCAACCAGCUGUUGGGGCCUUCGCCUUUAUAGUGCAGCUGCUAAUGCGAAGUUGACCGCCUGGGAGUACGGUCGCAAGAUUAAACUCAAAGGAAUUGACGGGGACCGCACGCGGUGGAUGAUGUGGAUUAAUUCGAUGCAACGCGAAAAACCUUACCUACCCUUGACAUGUCUGAAUCCCGAAGAGAUUGGGAGCGCCUGCAAGAGAACCGGAACACAGGUGCUGCAUGGCUGAAUGCCGCUCGUGUCGAGAUGUUGGGUUAAGUCCCGCAACGAGCGCAACCUCUUUGUCAUUAGUUGCUACGAAAGGGCACUCUAAUGAGAUCGUUGGUGACAAACCGGAGGGAUGACGUCAAGUCCUCAUGGCCCUUAUGGGUAGGGCUUCACACGUCAUACAAUGGUCGGGACAGAGGGUCGCCAAACCGCGAGGGGGAGCCAAUCCUGAAACCUGAUCGUAGUCCGGAUCGCAGUCUGCAACUCACCGCGUAAAUGGAAUCGCUAGUAAUCGCGGAUCAGCAUGUCGCGGUGAAUACGUUCCCGGGUCUUGUACACACCGCCCGUCACACCACAGGAGUGGGUUUUAUCAGAAGUAAUAGCUCAACUGCAAGGAGGCGAUUACCACGGUAGGAUUCAUGACUGGGGUGAAUGUAACAAGGUAG
rnacentral:rRNA from 1 species